rnacentral:rRNA from 1 species
AUCGAACGCUGGCGGCAGGCCUAACACAUGCAAGUCGAACGAGUGGCGGAUGGGUGGGUAAUGUCUGGGAAACUGCCCGAUGGAGGGGGAUAACUACUGGAACCGGUAGCUAAUACCGCAAACGAUCGGCUGUGCCCAGAUGGGAUUAGCUGGUAGGUGGGGUAACGGCUCACCUAGGCGACGAUCCCUAGCUGGUCUGAGAGGAUGACCAGCGACACUGGAACUGAGACAGGGUCCAGACGCCUACGGGAGGCAGCAGUGGGGAACAGUGCACAAUGGGCGCAAGCCUGAUGCAGCCAGGCCGCGUGUAUGAAGAAGGCCUUCGGGUUGUAAAGUACUUUCAGCGAGGAGGCGUUACUCGCAGAAGAAGCACCGGCUAACUCCGUGCCAGCAGCCGCGGUAAUAC